rnacentral:siRNA from 1 species
AUCUGUGGACCAAAAUAGAUGG